rfam:Protomyces lactucaedebilis strain 12-1054 BCR37scaffold_7, whole genome shotgun sequence.
GCCACUGUGUCCGAGUGGUUAAGGAGAUUGAUUUGAAAUCAAUUGCUUUCGAGCGCAUAGGUUCAAAUCCUGUCGGUGGCG